CAAUGCCUCAAAAUGCUGGCAGAUCCACAGAGAUAGCGCAAUUUCCCUCCUGUUCUCCUUGGCUAUCUCACCUUCCUGGAUGUGACCUGUGCCAUACGCUUGUUCUCAUGUGUGACAAGGGAAACGACUCUGUUCUGCUGCACCUGCAAGACAGAACCAGCUACUUACAGUGACAGGUGUGAUUUAGCUGGAUGGUGAUAUCUCAUCUACCUGAGUCAGAAGAAUUAUAACCCUGCACAGAUACGCACUGACAGAGGACAGUUCUACAUAUUUCAGAAAAUAAAAAUUAGCAAUCUCUUAAGAAGGGAGAAACCAUUAA